rnacentral:tRNA from 1 species
GACCAGGUACCCCAACUGGUAGAGGGGUCAGGUUGAGAGCCUGAUUUGUGUGGGUUCGACCCCCACCCUGGUCA